GAUGAACGCUGACAGAAUGCUUAACACAUGCAAGUCGAUGGGGAAGUGGUGCUUGCACCAUGGUAACCAUGGCGGACGGGUGAGUAACGCGUAAGGAACUUGCCUGCGGGACUGGGAUAACAGCAGGAAACUGCCGAUAAUACCGGAUAAGGUCAUUAAGCUGCAUAGCUUAGUGAUGAAAGGAGACGCCUGCGGAGAGCCUUGCGUCCUAUUAGCUAGUUGGAGGGGUAACGGCCCACCAAGGCGAAGAUAGGUAGCCGGCCUGAGAGGGUGGACGGCCACAAGGGGACUGAGAUACGGCCCUUACUCCUACGGGAGGCAGCAGUGGGGAAUAUUGGACAAUGGGGGCAACCCUGAUCCAGCAAUUCUGUGUGCACGAAGACGGUUUUCGGAUUGUAAAGUGCUUUCAGCAGGGAAGAAGGAAGUGACGGUACCUGCAGAAGAAGCGACGGCUAAAUACGUG
rnacentral:rRNA from 1 species